rnacentral:lncRNA from 1 species
UUGAGGCUAGAAGUGGAAACAAAAUACAAAAUAUCAACAUACAAAAAGGCCACUUCUUUCACUGUACAAAUGAACUCAUCAGAGUGCGAGACAAGUCAUGCAUUUAAGGUUUGUAGAUCCACGGAAUCCUCAUAGACUUCAAGGGAUAGGUCAGCGAUCGGUUCCUCACUAUCUUCCUCAUCUUGGAGGCAUAAAAAGCGGUGAGUUCUAUAUACUUAGUAAGAAAAAUAGUAU